CUGAAAAAAGAAUUCAUAUCUUGAAUCAUUGUUUAGUUGAUAGUUGAUAUCAUACUACAUAUGUCUGUAAACAGUUGAAGUUGGUUUUUAAUGAUGUUAUGUCAGAUUUAUAUUGAAUGAAAGAGGUACCAAUCAUUCAUAACUACAUUAUUUAAAUUUUAUGAAUAAAAAGAAUAAAACAGGAUUACCGUGAACUCCACAGAUGCAUAGAUCUGAAAGGUGUUUAUACUAUUUCAUGACUUCAUAUUACCUCAAAAUUGAAUUCUAUUUAAAAAGAUUUGAAAUAACCAAAGGAAAUAAAAUUCUACAAAACAAUGCAAGAAUUCUUAAUCUGAGGUUUUCGAACCAUAUUUUUGGAAGAAAAUUGAACCUGACCUCUGUAUCUGAAUAUAUUGCAAAAUUUUAUCAGGCCUAUGAUGAAAUAUUUCGGGCACAACCAAAUGAAUGGCUGGAUGACAAUUAUUCACACAGGUGAAUAGGCAAAUGUCUUUGAAUGGCCCCCUAUCACAGAAGAAAAAAUUUGUGAACAUUAGCUAAUUACUCAGGAACCCCUGAUCCAAUUUGGCAAAAUAAAACAGUGUUGAAGAGGAAAUUGCAUGACCAACAAGCAAGGUAUCACAAGAGCCUCUUUUCUAUAAAAAAAUGGACAGUACUCUCUUGGCACGAACUAUGGUCAUUAAGCAUUCAUAGAUCUUUUAAAUCCUUGGUAGGAACAAAAAAUAAACUGAACUGCAAUCU